rnacentral:lncRNA from 1 species
CACUAACAUGUCUCUACUUUAAGUAUAACAACCUGUGGGGCAGACAGACCAGGAUGACACACAAACUUCCCACAAGGACCUGACAUUUUAAACAAGUCAAAUGUGCCGAAAGACAAAAGACAGGAAAAUUCUCCUUUUCUGGACUGUAUGAUAAACAAUGAGCCUUAUUUUGUAACAACCAUUCUUUUUUAGAAAAAAAAAAUUCUUAAUGAAGAUAUCUUUAGUCAUCAGUAAAUCACUUCUUCAAAUCGCUGAGUAGAUGCCUACUCUCACAACACCUUCGUGACCAUAAGUAUGGCUGGGAACAAUUCCCAUAAUGGAAGACAGGUCUUCUGGAGUGGGUUGACUAAUACAGGGCUAUGUAAGAAGAGAGAUGUAGCAAAGAAAUAAAUUGCACCCUAAAAGCAAGUCAGUCCCCACCUACCACAACUUUUUUACUGGACAAGAUGUUGGCAAAAAAUUUACAACCACAGUAGUUUGUGAAUAUUGAUUUCAGGUAUUUCCAUGAAAUUCCAGGACAUUUCUUUCCAUAUGAGUAUUAGGUA